UACAGAGGAGCCAAGCGUUGUCCGGAUUGACUGGGCGUAAAGCGCACGCAGGCGGACGCGCGCGUGGGGUGUGAAAUCUGGCCGCUUAACGGCCAGGCGCCAUCCCAUACGGCGUGUCUGGAGUGAUGCAGAGGUCGGUGGAAUUGCCGGUGUAGUGGUGAAAUGCGUAGAGAUCGGCAGGAACACCGGUGGCGAAGGCGGCAUCCUGGACCGGUAUUGACGCUGAGGCGCGAAAGCCAGGGGAGCAAACGGG
rnacentral:rRNA from 1 species